rnacentral:rRNA from 1 species
AUGAACGCUGGCGGCGUGCUUAACACAUGCAAGUCGCACGGUGAAGGCGGAGCUUGCUCUGCUGGAUCAGUGGCGAACGGGUGAGUAACACGUGAGCAAUCUGCCCCUGACUCUGGGAUAAGCGCUGGAAACGGCGUCUAAUACUGGAUACGAGCUGCGAAGGCAUCUUCAGCAGCUGGAAAGAAUUUCGGUCAGGGAUGAGCUCGCGGCCUAUCAGCUUGUUGGUGAGGUAAUGGCUCACCAAGGCGUCGACGGGUAGCCGGCCUGAGAGGGUGACCGGCCACACUGGGACUGAGACACGGCCCAGACUCCUACGGGAGGCAGCAGUGGGGAAUAUUGCACAAUGGGCGAAAGCCUGAUGCAGCAACGCCGCGUGAGGGACGACGGCCCUCGGGUUGUAAACCUCUUUUAGCAGGGAAGAAGCGAAAGUGACGGUACCUGCAGAAAAAGCGCCGGCUAACUACGUG